GUACCCGGAAUGCAGCACGACUGUGUUCCCUUUAUGAUUGGCUACGCAACUGUAAGUCCCGCCCUCUCGAUGGGACGUUGUCCUCCAAGUGCAGACCACCAUCGGCAAAGUUGAACACUUCACAAGCGAAAAUGAUCAACUGGAAGGCUUUGGACAACGUACCCAUACUGUUGUACAUCUUGGCGCUGAAAACCCUCAUCCUGUGCUUGGGCUUCGCCGGGGUGAAGAUCUACCAAAGCAAAAAGGCCGACGCGGCCUUAAAGCUGCAGCAGGCGGAGAGGAAGAAGCUCGCCCAGCGGACUCAGGAGCUGAUCGACAACUUGAAGGAAGACUGAGACAAGCGAGGGAAACUUUUGGGGAAAAAGAUGAAACGACACAAGCACCACUUUGCUCAGAUGUGAGACUGCACCAUGAAAUCCUCUUCACCAUCUUCCAACCAGAUCUCUCCGGGACCUAUCGGCACCGAACGGCCAAGCUCGAAAAAAAAGGAGCCGUCCAAGUGGCCGAAGCGACGGACGCUGAGCAACGGUAUUGUGAUGGAGGGCAACUCGCAACACGCUCCCACUCGGACCAA